AUUGAACGCUGGCGGCAGGCUUAACACAUGCAAGUCGAGCGGAGAUGAGGUGCUUGCACCUUAUCUUAGCGGCGGACGGGUGAGUAAUGCUUAGGAAUCUGCCUAUUAGUGGGGGACAACAUUCCGAAAGGAAUGCUAAUACCGCAUACGUCCUACGGGAGAAAGCAGGGGAUCUUCGGACCUUGCGCUAAUAGAUGAGCCUAAGUCGGGUUAGCUAGUUGGUGGGGUAAAGGCCUACCAAGGCGACGAUCUGUAGCGGGUCUGAGAGGAUGAUCCGCCACACUGGGACUGAGACACGGCCCAGACUCCUACGGGAGGCAGCAGUGGGGAAUAUUGGGCAAUGGGGGGAACCCUGAUCCAGCCAUGCCGCGUGUGUGAAGAAGGCCUUAUGGUUGUAAAGCACUUUAAGCGAGGAGGAGGCUACUGAGACUAAUACUCUUGGAUAGUGGACGUUACUCGCAGAAUAAGCACCGGCUAACUCUGUGCCAGCCGCCGCGGUAA
rnacentral:rRNA from 1 species